AUGAACACCACUCAAAUUAUGGCAGAAGGUCAAUACAUUCUAGGAGAGUUCUUCAACAGUAAGGUCAGGGAAUUAGAAGGUCUGCCCAUUCUUGAUUCUUUGGAUGCCACUAGGCAGCAAUUAAUGGAGAAAAUUGACCGCGUGCAAGGAUUGCAACCAAGAAAUUUGAAGAUCAUACAAUUCUCCCAUCGGUUUAGAAGGACCUUAAUCAAAAGAAGUACAAGUCUAAAGCUAAAGAUUGGUCAGAAGCAAAAGUUUGGAGGCAGAAGCAUAUGCAGUAUAUACUAUUGCCAUGUAAAAAUGUUGGUUCCAGAUGUGUAA
rnacentral:rRNA from 1 species